rnacentral:rRNA from 1 species
AGCGAACGCUGGCGGCAUGCCUAACACAUGCAAGUCGAACGAGACCUUCGGGUCUAGUGGCGCACGGGUGCGUAACGCGUGGGAACCUGCCCUUAGGUUCGGUAUAACUCCCCGAAAGGGGUGCUAAUACCGGAUAAUGUCUUCGGACCAAAGAUUUAUCGCCUUUGGAUGGGCCCGCGUUGGAUUAGCUAGUUGGUAGGGUAAAAGCCUACCAAGGCGACGAUCCAUAGCUGGUCUGAGUGGAUGAUCAGCCACACUGGGACUGAGACACGGCCCAGACUCCUCCGGGAGGCAGCAGUGGGGAAUAUUGGACAAGGGGCGAAAGCCUGAUCCAGCAAUGCCGCGGGAGUGAUGAAGGCCUUAGGGUUGUAAAGCUCUUUUACCCGGGAUGAUAAUGACAGUACCGGGUGAAUAAGCUCCGGCUAACUCCGUG